rnacentral:lncRNA from 1 species
CUACUAUCGUAUCCUAGCAAUGCUUUCCUUCCUUCUUUUCUCUUCAAGGUAUCAAACAACCAAAGUCCACCAGUCAAGUGACCAAGGGAUGUAUCUACACACCAUGAUCUUCAUUUAAGGUAGGGUCAGUCUAUUAGUAUAGAAUUACAUCUAGAUUCUUCACAUAGUCUGUACACUGAGUAUAUCAAACAUUAAGAACACCUUUCUAAUAUUGAGUCGGGGACAUGGACUCUACAAGGUGUUGAAAGCUUUCCACAGGGAUGCUGGCCCAUGUUGACUCCAAUGCUUCCCACGGUUGUGUCAAGUUGGCUGGAUGUCCUUUGGGUGGUGGACCAUUCUUGAUACACACAGGAAACUGUUGAGUGUGAAAAAAACAGCAGCAUUGCAGUUCUUGACACAAACCGGUUCCUGGAACCUACUACCAUACCCUGUUCAAAGGCACUUACAUAUUUUGUCUUCCCCAUUCACCCUCUGAAUGACACAUAUACACAAUCCAUGUCUCAAUUGUCUCAAGGCUUAAAAAUCCUCCUUUCACCUGUCUCCUCCUCUUCACCUAUACUGAGUGAAGUGGAUUUAACAGGUGUCAUCAAUAAGGGAUCAUAGAUUUCACCUGGAUUCACCUGGUCAGUCUUCGUCAUGGAAAGAGUAGGUGGUGUUAAUGUUUUGUACACUCAGUGUAUAGGCCAGCGGUAAGGCCACAUGCACCCACUCACCCGUAGCCCUGUCCAGCUAGCUGUAUCGCUAUCCUCCAUGGUCACUAUUUCUCUCUCUCUCUAGCACCUGAUCUAGAAUCAGUCCUCUGUAUCGCUACCCUCCAUGGUCACUAUUUCUCUCUCUCUCUAGCACCUGAUCUAGAAUCAGUCCUCUGAAUCGCUACCCUCCAUGGUCACUAUUUCUCUCUCUCCAGCAACUGAUCUAGAAUCAGUCCUCUGUAUCGCUACCCUCCAUGGUCACUAUUUCUCUCUCUCUCCAGCACCUGAUCUAGAAUCAGUCCUCUGUAUCGCUACCCUCCAUGGUCACUAUUUCUCUCUCUCC